rnacentral:tRNA from 1 species
GCGAAAGUGGUGGAAUUGGUAGACACGCAAGCUUCAGGUGUUUGUGCCCGUACGGGUGUGAGGGUUCGAGUCCCUCCUUUCGCACUA